rnacentral:lncRNA from 1 species
AAACAAUCUGAUUGUUCUUAAACACACUCUAAUACACAAAAGUGUAUACAAAGUGAUUCAUCCUGUUUUGAUUAGAACGACGAAGAAGCUGUGCUAUUCCCAAACUGGGAAACUGGAAUCACCUGAUUUGAAAAUGGGAUAACUUCUUCAUGCCAACUCCUAUGAGAUUUAUUCAACUUCCUGGUGAUUCUCCACCACUUUAUGUAUCUAAGUCAAGCUUCUUACAUGAGGGAGGUCCCAUUUUAAAAAUCAAAAAACGUUUUAAAAACGUUUUAUUAAUUCCAAAAAAAACUAAAACAACAAUCCUAACUUAUAUAUCCUAAACUAUCGUGUGAGACUGGGUUCUCUUUCGCCAGUCCCUAUUUCCAAAGCUAAAGUGAGAGACAAAGCACCAGUCUCUGCGAUUGAUACACGUGUCAAUAGAGACCAGUCUCACUACACGUGGUAUCAUUUAGAUUGGAUGGAACCCACGUGAAGAUGGGACCCACUUACUACCCGCAUCUGACGCGCUUAUAUCUCGCCAGCUCGAAAAUAAUAUCUCGAUAUUUCUCUCGUCUCGUCGAGGUUUAACUCGGCGUUUGAGGUAUACUUGCGCGUGGUUUUAUUUUUAAUCUAUUUCACGGUAUUCGUUGAACGUUGAACAUCCAUUGGUCACACUUUGCUUAUUUAAGUGUUUUGUUCGAGUAAUGCUUUUUCUCUCUUUAUAGAAGUUUUUGCGUCUCUCCACGUGACCACUUAUCUGAAAGUGGGAUAACUUCUUCAUCCUAACUCCUAUGAGAGCAGAGAGAGAGAGAGCGUUAGAUUUGAGAGCAGUUAAAGAAAGAGAGUGAGAAACAUAGAUUGUUGAGAGAGAGAUAGAGAGAUGGCUAGUGGAAUCGCUCGUGGUCGUUUGGCGGAGGAGAGGAAAUCGUGGAGGAAGAAUCAUCCUCAUGUAUGUGUUUUCUUCUAUAUACUUUUCCAAUUUCAAAUUUUGAUCCUUGGGCAAGUGUUUAUUGGUCUCUGAUUGUGUUUAUUGAUGGUGAAGUUAGGGUUUUGUGGCGAAGCCGGAGACUGGGCCUGAUGGGUCUGUGAAUUUAAUGGUGUGGCAUUGCACUAUUCCUGGUAAAGCCGGUGUAAGUAUACAAUCAUUUAUCAAUUUAUCUUAUACCUCUGCUUAUGUGCGUCGGCUAAUUGUGAAAUUAGGGUUUAUGAAUUUUCUUAUGGGGAUUGUUUAUCAUUUGCUUUUAUGUCUUCAAAGCUUGGACCUUUCACUAGUUAAUGAUUCAUUUUUGAAUUUUACAGUUCCCCACCACCACCACCAUACUACUCGCCGUCACCUAAGGUAGAAUACAAAUCUCCACCACCACCAUAUGUUUACAAUUCUCCCCCACCACCAUACUACUCACCUUCUCCUAAGGUGUACUCCAAGUCUCCUCCACCACCGUAUGUUUACAGUUCUCCACCACCACCAUAUUACUCACCUUCCCCUAAGAUGUCCUACAAGUCUCCUCCACCACCAUAUGUUUACAGCUCCCCACCACCACCACCAUACUACUCACCUUCUCCUAAGGUUGAUGCUGCCAAAGAAUCGAUUCGUGAUUAUUUGGGCAACUAGAGAGGGCCGAAGAGUGUAGCUGGAGAAGUAACAUUCUUCCUCUUUUGUUUUCAUGUUUUGUCGGCUGAUGAAUGAAGCUGAAUUAUAUUUAUAGUAAUUCAUCUUUAUAAAAAUGCACCAUAUAGUUUGUGAUUUGAUCAAUUAAGCCCCCUUUAGUGAGGAAAUUGAUCUACUAACUGUGCUAUUCCCAAACUGGGAAACUAGAAUCACCUGAUUUGAAAGUGGGAUAAAUUCUUCAUCCCAACUCCUAUGAGAUUUAUUAAACUUCCUGGUGAUUCUCCACCACUUUAUGUAUCCAAAUCAAACUUUACACAAAGUGAUUCAUCCUGGUUUGAUUGGAACGAUGAAGAAGCUGUGCUAUUCCCAAACUUGAAAACUGGAAUCACCUGAUUUGAAAGUGGUAUAACUUCUUCUUGCCAACUCCUAUGAGAUUUAUUCAACUUCCUUGUGAUUCUCCACCACUUUAUGUAUCCAAAUCAAGCUUCUUACAAAGUGAUUCAUCCUGGUUUGAUUGGAACGACGAAGAAGCUGUGAUAUUCCCAAGCUGGGAAACUGGAAUCACCUGAUUUGAAAGUGGGAUAACUUCUUCAUGCCAACUCCUAUGAGAUUUAUUCAACUUCCUGGUGAUUCUCCACCACUUUAUGUAUCCAAAUGAAGGUUCUUACAAAAACUUGGCCUCACAUACUCUCUGAUUAAUCUCCGAUUUUUUUCUCACUCGCUAGGCGUGAACCGGCCGCUCGACUAGCACCUAGCGUAGUUCCGAACAUGGGUUUUUGCUAAUAACAAAAGAAAAAUGAAAAAAAGACGCAUAUUUCUUGUAUUACAAGCGGCUCUUUUGGACCCCAUGCAACGGCAGCUACAUACAUGUAUCAUUAUAUAUUAGCAUGAUCAUGAAAAUGAUAUAACAAUCACAUUGUGAGCUACUUACCUCUGCAAGUGAUGACCUUUCCUUGAGUCUCUACCAUGUUCUUGCUGUUCUUUUCGUUGUUGUUAUAUUAAAAUUGUCUUUCUAGGAGUGUAGCUCUAUAUAUAUAUCCAGAAUUUGGGAUCUAUAUGUCUAAUUAUAGUGAACAUGUUGAGUCACAUGUAUAGUAUCCAAACUGAGUCAAUAAUUCCGAAGUCGGGUUACGUAACAAAAGUACAAGGUAUUAAACCAAUAAGUACAGCAGAUUCUUGUUAUAACACGCACAUGUCGAUAUAUAUAAACAUAUGCAUAUAAUAAAAAUACAAAAACUUGGCCUCACAUACUCUAAACUUGGCCUCACAUACUCUCCGAUUAAUCUCCGAUUUGUUAUUCUUGAGUGGAAAUUAAAAAAAAACAAAGCAAAAGUGCUCAAUAACUUUACAAAAAAAAAAAGUCAACUGAUAUAAGAGCAUCAUUAUCGGUACAUAUGGUGAGGAGUUCCAAAAGAAAAAAAAUUAAUUAAUAUUUUAAAGACGAAGAUGCUUGUAAUUGCUGCAACAAGUAUAUAGAACGUUGCCAAUUUUUAACAUAGUCAGGAGUUAGCAGAUAGAAUGGGAAAGCUUUGAUGAGAGAUCAAAUUUGGUCUCUUUUCAAACAGCCAAAACAAAAAAGUUGACUACAAAUUCAACAUGCACACUCUUGUUGUUGUUUUCUUCAUUCACCAUUCUUCUUGUUUCACCUCCAUUGACAUAUUGUUCUUGAUCUUUUCCCCUAUGUUCUUUAGAGAGUUCUUUCUCAUUCUUCUUAUGUUUGGGUUUGAUUUUAUGGAUUUUCCUAUAAUAAACAGUUUCUUUGGACACUUUGAUUGUGGUAGAGGAAUAACUCAUUUAGGUCUAUAUAAAAGAACACCAAAAGUACUAAUUUUGUAUCACGGUCAGUUUCAAGAAAAUAAAAAUUAAAGAAACAAUGAAAGGUUACAUUAUUGCUCUUAUUGUAUGCGGUUGCUUCGCAAUAAUCGUGGUUGGUCUCAUCUUAUGGUGUCUUCAGAACCGCAAAAAGAAAAAAAGAUCGGCAAGGCGAAUCAAGUGUUACGCGGCGUAUGGAAACGUACGACACGGGAGGACACGUGGAUAAACUAGGAACAGAUUGUGUGAGCCCAUUCGAACGUUUCUUAGACGCAAAAGAGGCCCAAAUGAAGCCUAAAGGCGCAACCACUAAUCCCUACGUUGUUUUGUUUUAUUAAAAAUCGCUCAAUCCUAACUUUUUCGGUUAAAAUUGGGAUUUUGGAUUUUUUUAAAACCAUAAUCUCCCGUAAAAGUAUGACUGGUUUCGUUGUUAUCAUCGGCAAACGAACAAACGAUAAGUACCGAUCGUUGGCGUUUUGCUACAAUCACAAAAAAUGAUAUAUAUUGUUUUAAACCAUUUAAAUUCAAAAACUGGUCUGUGGUAGCAGAUGGUUGUCAGAAGAUAAAAUAAUUUUUUAAACUAUAUAAAUAGAAAAUAAAAAUAUUUAAUUAAAAUUGAAAUCAUUGUUUUUUGUCAUCUAAAAUUGAAAUAAUGGUAAUAAUAGAAACACUAAAUAUAUAUAUAUAUAUAAUAUUUUAAUUUAUAUUAUAAAACUUUAAAACAAAAAUAUCUUCUAUGUUUUUUUAAAAAAAAUAAUAGUAUAAUUUUAUAAAUAUAUUUUCUAUAUUUAUUAUAGUAAUAUUUUUUUUGAUAUUUUAUAAUUUUAUAAUAUAAAUAUUGUUACUUAUUAUUUAACCAUUGUUGCAUUUGGGAGUUAACCAGUCAUAAAUAUUUCGUAAAUGCAACAAUUUUUAACUGUCGUAUCCGUCGUACAAAUCUCUUAAUAAUGCUUAAAAUCACAACCAUCCGCAUCCGCAAACACCCGCAACCGCUACGGUUACACUAUCCAGGCCCUAAGUAAAGAUUGGUUAUUUAUAUUUCAGUGAUACUUAUAGCUUUAAAUCCAUUCAUUUGAUAAUUCAAAGAAAUAAAUAUUAUAAUCAAGCAUGGGUUUUCAUUGUUGUACUGAUAUGAAAAGGGAAACUCUAAUAAGAUUUUUGUAUUAACUGGCAGUUCAGAAAUCCCAAAACUUCUUGGUUCAAAAAUAGAAAUAUAUUUUUUCAACAUGUAAAAUUCUUUUUAACAAAGAAAAUAUUCACGCUUAGUUAAGAUCCACAAAAUAAACCAAAUAAUUGAAGUCUGGUGGCAAGGGCUAAUUCGGGGCAUGACGUAAAUUCAUCUGUUUUGAAUUUGAUUCCAACUGAGAACAAAGUUGUUCUUAUUUCAUCAGUUUGGGUUUGUCUUUCGGUCCAAAUAGUUUCUACGGUAAUACAGUAAUAAACGAUUAAAACGAUUUGGUUAUUCUCUGGUAUUAAUUGAAAAAUAUUUCAAAUAGUGGAGGUAAUUGUAAUCAACUAUUUCUAGAACCUACCGGAUCACUUGAUAGGACAUAUAAAAUUACAGAAAAUAAAAUAACAAUGGAGGAAGAAAGUUGAGGCUUGAUUGUGAUAGGAGUCACGGUAAUCUUACGGUCAGUGGGUACGUAGCAUCUCCAAAAAAGUUUCCCUGUUUGGGAAUAUGACAACUUCUUUGUCAUUCUAAUCAAACCAGGAAGAAUCGCGAUGUAAGAACCUUCAUUUGGAUACAUAAGGUAGUGUAGAAUCACCAGGAAGUUGAAUAAAUCUAAUAGGAGUUAGGAUGAAGAAGUUAUCCCACUUUCAGAUAAGGUGAUCCCAGUUUCCCUGUUUGGGAAUAUGACAACUUCUUCGUCAUUCUAAUCAAAACAGGAAGAAUCACGAUGUAAGAACCUUCAUUUGGAUACAUAAAGUAGUGGAGAAUCACCAGGAAGUUGAAUAAAUCUCAUAGGAGUUAAGAUGAAGAAGUUAUCCCACUUUCAAAUAUAGUGAUCUCAGUUUCCNNNNNNNNNNNNNNNNNNNNNNNNNNNNNNNNNNNNNNNNNNNNNNNNNNNNNNNNNNNNNNNNNNNNNNNNNNNNNNNNNNNNNNNNNNNNNNNNNNNNNNNNNNNNNNNNNNNNNNNNNNNNNNNNNNNNNNNNNNNNNNNNNNNNNNNNNNNNNNNNNNNNNNNNNNNNNNNNNNNNNNNNNNNNNNNNNNNNNNNNNNUCCAAAUCAAGCUUCUUACAAAGUCCUUCAUCGUGGUUUGAUUGGAACGACGAAGAAGCUGUCCUAUUCCCAAAUUGGGAAACUGGAAUCACCUGAUUUGAAAGUGUGAUAACUUUUUCAUCCCAACUCCUACGAGAUUUAUUCAACUUCCUGGUGAAUCCCACCACUUUGUCUAUCCAAAUCAAGCUUCUUACAAAGUGAUUCAUCUUGUUUUGAUUGGAACGACGGAGAAGCUGUCCUAUUCCCAGACUGGGAAACUGGAAUCACCUGAUUUGAAAGUGGGAUAACUUCUUUAUCCCAACUCCUAUGAGAUUUAUUCAACUUCCUGGUGAAUCCCACCACUUUGUCUAUCCAAAUAAAGCUUCUUACAAAGUGAUUCAUCCUGUUUUGAUUGGAACGACGGAGAAACUGUCCUAUUCCCAGACUGGGAAGCUGGAAUCACCUGAUUUGAAAGUAGGAUAACUUCUUCAUUCCAAUUCCUAUGAGAUUUGUUCAAUUUCCUGGUGAUUCUCCACCACUUUAUCUAUCCAAAUCAAGCUUUUUAUAAAGUGAUUCAUCCUGGUUUGAUUGGAACGACGAAGAAGCUGUCCUAUUCCCAAACUGGAAAGCUGGAAUCACCUGGUUUGAAAGUGGGAUAACUUUUUCAUCCCAACUCCUAUGAGAUUUUUUCAACUUCCUGGCGAUUCUCCACCACUUUAUCUAUCUAAAUCAAGCUUCUUCUAAAGUGAUUCAUUCUGUUUUGAUUGGAACGACGGAGAAGUUGUCCUAUUCCCAGACUGGGAAACUGGAAUCACCUGAUUUGAAACUGGGAUAACUUCUUCAUCCCAACUCCUAUGAGAUUUGUUCAAUUUCCUGGUAAUUCUCCACCACUUUAUGUAUCCAAAUUAAGCUUCUUAUAAACUGAUUCAAACUGGUUUGAUUGGAACGACAAAGAAGCUGUCAUAUUCCCAAACUGCGAAACUAGAAUCUCCUGAUUUGAAACUGGAAUAACUUCUUCAUCCCAACUCCUAUGAGACUUAUUCAACUUCCUGGUGAUUCUCCACCACUUUAUGUAUCCAAAUCAAGCUUCUUACAAAGUCAUUCAUCAGGGUUUGAUUGGAACGACGAAGAAUCUGUCCUAUUCCCAAAUUGGGAAACUGGAAUCACCUGAUUUGAAAGUGUGAUAACUUUUUCAUCCCAAGUCCUAGGAGAUUUAUUCAACUUCCAGGUGAAUCCCACCACUUUGUCUAUCCAAAGCAAGCUUCUUACAAAGUGAUUCAUCCUGUUUUGAUUGGAACGACGGAGAAGCUGUCCUAUUCCCAGACUGGGAAACUGGAAUCACCUGAUUUGAAAGUGGGAUAACUUCGUCAUCCCAACUCCUAUGAGAUUUAUUCAACUUCCUGGUGAAUCCCACCACUUUUUCUAUCCAAAUAAAGCAUCUUACAAAGUGACUCAUCCCGUUUUGAUUGGAACGCCGAAGAAGCUGUCAUAUUCCCAAACUGGAAAACUGGAAUUACCAGAUUUGAGAGUGGGAUAACUUCUUCAUCCCAAAUCCUAUGAGAUUUUUUCAACUUUCUGGUGAUUCUCCACCACUUUAUCUAUCCAAAUCAAGUUUCUUAUAAAGUGAUUCAUCCUGGUUUGAUUGGAACAACGAAGAAGCUGUCCUAUUCCCAAACUGGAAAGCUGGAAUCACCUGGUUUGAAAGUGGGAUAACUUUUUCAUCCCAACUCCUAUAAGAUUUUUUCCAACUUCCUGGUGAUUCUCCACCACUUUAUCUAUCCAAAUCAAGCUUCUUAUAAAGUGAUUCAUCCUGUUUUGAUUGGAACGACGAAGAAGCUGUCCUAUUCCCAAAUUGGGAAACUGGAAUCACCUGAUUUGAAAGUAGGAUAACUUCUUCAUCCCAACCCCUAUGAGAUUUAUUCAACAUCCUGGUGAAUCCCACCACUUUGUCUAUUCAAAUCAAGCUUCUUACAAAGUGAUUCAUCCUGUUUUGAUUGGAAAGACGGAGAAGUUGUCCUAUUCCCAGACUGGGAAACUGGAAUAACCUGAUUUGAAACUGGGAUAACUUCUUCAUCCCAACUCCUAUGACAUUUGUUCAAUUUCCUGGUGAUUCUUCACCACUUUAUGUAUCCAAAUCAAGCUUCUUAAAAAGUGAUUCAUCCUGGUUUCAUUGAACGACGAAAAAGCUGUCAUAUUCCCAAACUGCGAAACUCGAAUCACCUGAUUUGAAACUUCCUGGUGAUACCUUUUUCAUCCCAACUCCUAUGAGACUUAUUCAACUUCCUGGUGAUUCUCCACCACUUUAUGUAUCCAAAUCAAGCUUCUUACAAAAUCAUUCAUCGUGGUUUGAUUGGAACGACGAAGAAGCUGUCCUAUUCCCAAAUUGGGAAACUGGAAUCACCUGAUUUAAAAGUGGGAUAACUUCUUCAUCCCAACUCCUAUGAGAUUUUUUUAACUUCCUAGUGAUUCUCCACCACUUUAUGUAUCCAAAUCAAGCUUCUUACAAAGUGAUUCAUCCUGGGUUGAUUGGAACGACGAAGAAGAUGUCAUAUUCCCAAAAUGGGAAACUAGAAUCACCAGAUUUGAAAGUGGGAUAACUUCUUCAUCCCAACUCCUAUGAGAUUUAUUCAACUUCCUAGUGAUUCUCCACCACUUUAUGUAUCCAAAUCAAGCUUCUUACAAAGUGAUUCAUCCUGGUUUGAUUGGAACGACGAAGAAGAUGUCAUAUUCCCAAAAUGGGAAACUAGAAUCACCAGAUUUGAAAGUGGGAUAACUUCUUCAUCCCAACUCCUAUGAGAUUUAUUCAACUUCCUAGUGAUUCUCCACCACUUUAUGUAUCCAAAUCAAGCUUCUUACAAAGUGAUUCAUCCUGGUUUGAUUGGAACGACGAAGAAGCUGUCCUAUUCCCAAAAUGGGAAACUAGAAUCACCAGAUUUGAAAGUGGGAUAACUUCUUCAUCCCAACUCCUAUGAGAUUUAUUCAACUUCCUAGUGAUUCUCCACCACUUUAUGUAUCCAAAUCAAGCUUCUUACAAAGUGAUUCAUCCUGGUUUGAUUGGAACGACGAAGAAGCUGUCCUAUUCCCAAAAUGGGAAACUAGAAUCACCAGAUUUGAAAGUGGGAUAACUUCUUCAUCCCAACUCCUAUGAGAUUUAUUCAACUUCCUAGUGAUUCUCCACCACUCUAUGUAUCCAAAUCAAGCUUCUCACAAAAUGAUUCAUCCUGGUUUGAUUGGAACGACGAAGAAGCAAUCAUAUUCCCAAAAAUGGGAAACUAGAAUCACCAUAUUUGAAAGUGGGAUAACUUCUUCAUCCCAAAUCCUAUGAGAUUUAUUCAGCUUCCUAGUGAUUCUCCACCACUUUAUGUAUCCAAAUCAAACUUCUUACAAAGUGAUUCAUCC